GUAAUUUGCACCUCACAGGUGCUCUUCACUAGGUGUGUGGAGGGAAUAAGGAGCAGCUUGAGGAAACAUCUUACAGACACAGCAAGGUUUGUUAGCUCCUUCUGACCAAGCAACUAUUCCUGAGUGUGUUGCUCCUUCUGAUCAAGCAACUGGUCCUGAAUCACUGCAUCAUUUGCACCUCAUCUAUUGCCUGCUUGCACAGGUAGAGUGCCUGUAACCCCUGGAGAGGGAGCCUGUGCUUCUCAAGAUAAAUACAGGUUGAUUUGUCACUGAGCAACCCCAGCUAUAGCAUAUUUCACAGGUCUUGGCUAUUGCAUGGAGUCACAGUGAGAUGCAAAACCUCCCUGGAGCUGUUUGAAAGGAGAUCCAGCUCCACUCAUCCAUCAUGAACCUCUUUGCUCAGCCUGUACCAGGAGAGAUGGGAGCUCCUUUGCCUUCCUCCCCUGCAGCCUGGAGCCAGCAGGAUCUUGGUGUUGGUUCAGCAUCAGCCUCACAAGGCUGUAAAUGAGUGACCCUUUCUGACAGCAGCCCAUUCCCAGUGUGUGAACUCACCAGUCACUGGAAAGGUAUUUUCUUAGGAAACCAUCUGACAGCUUGGAACUUUCCCUCCUUUAAUGAAGAUGACUCAGCUUCCCUUGUGCCCAUCUCUGCUCUUCUCCCUUGGUUUCCAUAUUGCCUUUACCAGCUGAACAUCUCAGUGCCUUUAUGCUGACAUGCCCAGCACUGCCUCUCAGCAGUUCCUGAGGGUUUAAGGUCCAUGGUCCUGGAGUUAUCACCUGCUGGGAUCCCCUUGGCUGGGCCAGGUGUGUGGUGGAGGCCAGACUGCUGCUGAGGCAAGAAACUGCCAUCAAAUGGGAAAAGACAUCCCUGGAAGAUGAUAGGCAAAACCCUAGCACUGGACAUCCUCUGAAGCCACUGAAUCAAUUAGACACAUCCAAGAGCUGAUGCUGUCCCUCUGCUCAGCCCUCAUGGAGGUGCAUGAAGGCAUGAAUGAAAUUCAUGAGUGAAAAUAUGGUGAGCAUCAUCCAUCCAUGUAAUGUCAGCAUUUAAGCACAAGUUCUUCCCACGUGUCAGGUGUGUGUCUGUCACUCCAGGACAGGGAGGUGGUGGCUCUGGAACCCUGUAAUGUGCAAUGAGCAUCUGUCAAUGCUCUUUUAGUUUGCUCCUCCAGAAUGGCCUCAGGCCCCAUCACCUCUGGGCCUGCCAUUGCCUGUGGGACAGACAUGGAUGUGGGACAGACAGACAGACACUGCUGGGAGGCACAGGAGCAUAGCAACAAAUCGCUGUCUCCUGCAAUAUGAAGAGGUUGCCUGUCAGCACUACUAAAGCAGAUUUAAUAGCAGGGUCUGCUUGAAAACUUCUGCAAAGUCAAGCUCAUUUCUUGUUUGGGAGAAAAUUGGCUUUUUCUGCCUCCUCUGUAUUAUUGGUGUGAAAGUGGGAAAAUUGGCUGAAAACAAUAAAUGUCUUUUCUGCCUCGUUGAGCAGACUAGACAAGUGUCUGAUGGAAGGUCAGCAGAAAGAGUAAUUUCUUGACUAAGUUAUUUUCUCUGCUGGGGGAAAAGAUAACUUUGCUGCCCAGGAAAAACAAGGAAUGAUUUCUCUUGUGCUGGGUUUGGGCAGAUUCUGCAGGAUCUCAGCUACCACACAGAGUAACAUGCCGGCUCCUGGGAAAGUGGCAAGCUGCUGGCUGGAUCCUGGUUGUCCAGGCAGCUGUUCUGGCUGUGCAGGAACACGUCAGGAGUGCAUAACAGCACUUCUUCAAGGGGCUCAGUGCUGAGUCUGUGCAGGCUGUGAGCCCUAAGUUAUUCUCCAAAGCUCCUUGAGGCAGCUUCAUUGAAACUUGUAAGAUUUAAUUUGGGUUUUUUCCCCAGUUCUACCAGUCUGGCAGAGCCCUCAGGGGAUGUGCUAUGUUUUAUACUGCCUUUCUCAGCCUUGAUUUUCUGCUGCCCAUAGUUCUGAUCCUCUCCUAUUAAGAGGUUUUGCUGGUAUGAGUCAAAAGUUUCACCACUCCUGCUUGUAACCUGCUCUUUAAUACAGUCUGUAACAUCUGGAAGUCUCUCAUUACACCAACAUCCAUGUUGCCUUUGGCUCGGGGUUGGCUGAACCCAGACCCAGUGCCUACCUGGCAUGUGAGGCAGUGGUAACACUCCCAUCCCAUCUCAGUGAGAUGCAGAGGGUGCCUAGGCAGCCCCAGAGUUUUUCCUGUACUGGUAAGGAACCCGGAGCAAACCAUGGAUGGUGAGUGUGAUGCCUUAAGCAAAAUCAUUCCUGUGCCAAUCCCCCUUGCACAUUAGGUGAGAUCUUUUUUCUGCUUGCACGCUUCCCCAUCCCCUGCUCCUGCCAGACACCACUACCCAAGGUAAAAAAAAAAACUAAAUAAGUCUGGGACAGGGCUGGUCUUUGAUGGGCACCAUAACCCAGAGCUGUAUGUGGCCAGAAAUGUCCCCAUGAGGCUCUGGUUGCAACACUGCACACUACAACAAUGAUUUCUUUCUUGGUUUUAGAUAAUAAUCUUGUUGGGGCAGGGCACAACGCUUUUUCAGCUUGACAUGUUACCGACACCUGAGAUGCUGUUUGUGAAAAACAACAGGAUGGUUAUGAAACAGGGAAACUAAAUGAAAGCUAACAUGCCUGAGAAAGGGAAGGAAAAAGAGAGUAUAAACAAGAGUGACAAAUCCUUUCCCUGUCUCUGGUGAGCCCAUGGUCCUGGGCCACAAAACCCAUGAAAGUUCUUCAGCUCCUGCCAUCUCCUCUGGAUGUUCCUCCGUGCCCUCCUGUCGUUAGUAGCUCUGCUGUGUUGAGCAGAGCCAUCAUUCACCUUUUAUUCUCCUUUUUAAUAUCAGCACAACAUGUCUGCAUAUUCCCUUUUCUGGAGAUUAUAUAGCCCAUGGGAGGGAUAAGCUUGCUCAGAAGAUUCACUAGCAGGAAACACCUCUGAGAGUCUGAAAUGGCACCAACCACCAGGAAACUUUGCUGUUCUGGUUCCAGCUGCCUUCUCCUACUGACACUUGCACAGCUUCAGACUUUUCUUCCUUUUGCCAGAUCCUCCCUGUCUCACCAUGGAGCCAUGACCAAUGGAAAUAAAUCACAAUUUUAGGAAUUUAUUUGAAUGUUGCUAUGAAACAGGUCACGGCGGCCAGUGAGAGGCUCUAUUUGUGCAGUCACCCACAGAGGAAAGAAGACGUUAGUUUUACUUUGAAAAAUAACACUUUCAUGUGUAAAGGGCAUUUUGGUUUGGGUGGAAGGCUGCAGCCACUGAAGGGGAGAUGAGCUUCAGUGGGAUGUUCACUCAGUCACACAGCCUAACCAAGUAAAUUUGCAAAUUUUCAUUGUGGUUGUUUUGGUGCCUUGUUCAACGGCACAUCACACGCUGCAGCCAAAUGUUCAUCCAGGGCUUAGGACUGGAUGCAUUGUAGGGCAAUUAAAAGUAAAAUAUUACCCUCUGCUCCCUGGGCCACAAGCAAACACGGCUGUGGGUGAAGGCCAGCAGAGGAAGAAUGACAUCAUGAAACCCAAGAGGGAAAGCAAACACCAAGCCAGCACCAUGUGCAGGUCAGCCACUGCACCAGGACACACUUUCCUCUUUGUGACUUUGACUUCUGUGCUCUGUUUGCCCAGCAGACUUUUAUUGGGAAAGCUCUCAAGCACAGGUGUGCUACACACCACAGCUCAAGGCAGCAGGAUCUGGCCCUCUCCCGCUUUUCCAGUCCUGGUGGUGGCAAAUGGAGCACAACAUCCUCACCACCCUGCCCUGAUGAAGCAAGUUCCUCCUGAGCCAGCAAAAGGAAAUUUAGCCACGCUCUGCCUGCAGCCCUGCAUGGCCAGGGCUUGUCCUCUGGCCCAAGCUGCUCCUGCUGGGGCAGGGCUCAGGGCUGGCCACCAAAGUGUGUCCUUAAAUCAUGGAAGCAACUCAUUUCAGGCAGCAGGACUCCUCUCGCAACACAGUGGUGCUAAA